rnacentral:tRNA from 1 species
GAGGGUAUAGCUCAGUGGUAGAGCCUGUGCUUAGCAUGCACAAGGUCCUGGGUUCAAUCCCCAGUACUUCUG